rnacentral:rRNA from 1 species
GUGCCAGCCGCCGCGGUAAUACGGAGGGAGCUAGCGUUGUUCGGAAUUACUGGGCGUAAAGCGCGCGUAGGCGGUUACUCAAGUCAGAGGUGAAAGCCCGGGGCUCAACCCCGGAACUGCCUUUGAAACUAGGUAACUAGAAUCUUGGAGAGGUCAGUGGAAUUCCGAGUGUAGAGGUGAAAUUCGUAGAUAUUCGGAAGAACACCAGUGGCGAAGGCGACUGACUGGACAAGUAUUGACGCUGAGGUGC